UGAUUAGUGGCGAACGGGUGAGUAACACGUGGGCAAUCUGCCCUUCACUCUGGGACAAGCCCUGGAAACGGGGUCUAAUACCGGAUAACACCCCCUCUCGCAUGGGAGGGGGUUGAAAGCUCCGGCGGUGAAGGAUGAGCCCGCGGCCUAUCAGCUAGUUGGUGAGGUAGAAGCUCACCAAGGCGACGACGGGUAGCCGGCCUGAGAGGGCGACCGGCCACACUGGGACUGAGACACGGCCCAGACUCCUACGGGAGGCAGCAGUGGGGAAUAUUGCACAAUGGGCGAAAGCCUGAUGCAGCGACGCCGCGUGAGGGAUGACGGCCUUCGGGUUGUAAACCUCUUUCAGCAGGGAAGAAGCGAGAGUGACGGUACCUGCAGAAGAAGCGCCGGCUAACUACGUGCCAGCAGCCGCGGUAAUACGUAGGGCGCAAGCGUUGUCCGGAAUUAUUGGGCGUAAAGAGCUCGUAGGCGGCUUGUCGCGUCGGUUGUGAAAGCCCGGGGCUUAACCCCGGGUCUGCAGUCGAUACGGGCAGGCUAGAGUUCGGUA
rnacentral:rRNA from 1 species